UACGUAGGUGGCAAGCGUUGUCCGGAAUUAUUGGGCGUAAAGCGCGCGCAGGCGGUCCUUUAAGUCUGAUGUGAAAGCCCACGGCUCAACCGUGGAGGGUCAUUGGAAACUGGGGGACUUGAGUGCAGGAGAGAAGAGUGGAAUUCCACGUGUAGCGGUGAAAUGCGUAGAGAUGUGGAGGAACACCAGUGGCGAAGGCGAGUCUCUGGACAGCAACUGACGCUGAGGCACGAAGGCCAGGGGAGCAAACGGG
rnacentral:rRNA from 1 species